rnacentral:rRNA from 1 species
AACGAACGCUGGCGGCAGGCUUAACACAUGCAAGUCGAACGGUUGUAGCAAUACAGCAGUGGCAGACGGGUGAGUAACACGUGGGAACCUUCCUAGGGGUACGGAACAACUCAGGGAAACUUGAGCUAAUACCGUAUACGUCCGUGAGGAGAAAGAUUUAUCGCCCUUAGACGGGCCCGCGUCGGAUUAGCUAGUUGGUGGGGUAACGGCCUACCAAGGCGACGAUCCGUAGCUGAUCUUAGAGGAUGAACAGCCACACUGGGCCUGAGACACGGCCCAGACUCCUACGGGAGGCAGCAUUGGGGAAUCUUGGACAAUGGGCGCAAGCCUGAUCCAGCCAUGCCGCGUGAGUGAAGAAGGUCUUCGGAUUGUAAAGCUCUUUUGCCAGGGACGAUAAUGACGGUACCUGGAGAAUAAGCCCCGGCAAACUUCGUGCCAGCAGCCGCGGUAA